UACGGAGGAUCCAAGCGUUAUCCGGAUUUAUUGGGUUUAAAGGGUGCGUAGGCGGGUUAUUAAGUCAGUGGUGAAAGCCUGCAGCUUAACUGCAGAAUUGCCAUUGAUACUGAUGAUCUUGAGUACAGUUGAGGUGGGCGGAAUGUGUCAUGUAGCGGUGAAAUGCUUAGAUAUGACACAGAACACCGAUUGCGAAGGCAGCUCGCUAAGCUGUAACUGACGCUGAGGCACGAAAGCGUGGGGAGCAAACAGG
rnacentral:rRNA from 1 species